UACGUAGGGGGGCAAGCAUUGUCCGGAAUCAUUGGGCGUAAAGCGCGUGUAGGCGGCCCGAUAAGUCCGCUGUGAAAGUCCAGGGCUCAACCCUGGGAUGCCGGUGGAUACUGUCGGGCUCGAGUCCGGAAGAGGAGUGUGGAAUUCCUGGUGUAGCGGUGAAAUGCGCAGAUAUCAGGAGGAACACCAAUGGCGAAGGCAGCACUCUGGGACGUGACUGACGCUGAGACGCGAAAGCGUGGGGAGCAAACAGG
rnacentral:rRNA from 1 species